rnacentral:rRNA from 1 species
CCUACGGGAGGCUGCAGUGAGGAAUAUUGGUCAAUGGGCGCUAGCCUGAACCAGCCAAGUAGCGUGAAGGAUGACUGCCCUAUGGGUUGUAAACUUCUUUUAUAUGGGAAUAAAGUGCAGUAUGUAUACUGCUUUGCAUGUACCUUAUGAAUAAGGAUCGGCUAACUCCGUGCCAGCAGCCGCGGUAAUACGGAGGAUCCGAGCGUUAUCCGGAUUUAUUGGGUUUAAAGGGAGCGUAGGCGGGUUGUUAAGUCAGUUGUGAAAGUUUGCGGCUCAACCGUAAAAUUGCAGUUGAUACUGGCAGCCUUGAGUACAGUAGAGGUAGGCGGAAUGCGUGGUGUAGCGGUGAAAUGCUUAGAUAUCACGAAGAACUCCGAUUGCGAAGGCAGCCUGCUGGACUGUAACUGACGCUGAUGCUCGAAAGUGUGGGUAUCAAACAGGAUUAGAUACCCUAGUAGUC